AUUUUAUAAUGGGAGAAAUGCAAAGAUAUGAUUACGGUAUGCUGAAGCAGUGCAGCCCCACCAAGGAAGAGAUGCUGGCAGAUAAAACAACAUGACCACUUCACUGUGCAAGCCAAGCCCAGAAUCAUUUUCUUCCAGGAGUCUGCAUUGAGAAUACACAUGCUUUUUACUGUGGAUUCAAGUCUUACAACACAAAAGUAUCAAAUAGUGAUGACAUACAAUCUUGAAAAGGCAACAAUUGUUUCAUAUGAAAACUGCUUAGGUGUAAAGUAAAUACAAAUUAAAAAGUACUUAAAAAUAUAGCCUAAUAUGCCGAGUUGGCCUUGUUGUUUGAAAAUUAAUUUAAAAUUCAUAAAACCAAAAUAACUUAGAAAAAGGCAACAUUUGCCAACUUGAUAAAAUCACAUUAAAGCACAUAAAAUUUAAAAAUCACUACUAUUUACUGAAAAAAAAUCAACCAAGUUGUUUUAGGAUAAUUGAUACAGAACUGUAGGCACAUUGACCAAUUAAGUAGAGAACUGCUAAUCAGACAAAGAACACAUAAUUGGCUAAAAUGUAUUUAACAUUAUUUAGAAAUUCAAAACAAAGAGGAAUCUCCCAAAACUCUGAAAAAUGGGAAAAUGUUUAAAAUUAUAGAAGUCAUUGAAUAAUUUUCUCAUGUUACUUUAACCUUACAAUUAUAUAAAGACCAGUGAUGGGGAAAAUUUAUUUUUGACUGACUUAACAUUUUGACCAAUUUCAUUUUAACCACUCGAUUUGCAGUCAUUGAGCAUAAGCACAAGGCUUAAAAUUGGAGAAUGGUAGUGAUAAUGUACAUUAAAAUUUUCUGGAGAAUUAAAACUCAGCAUUCAUCUAGUUUAUUUUUUCUCUAUUGCUGUUUCAUGGGAUGAUGGAAUUCUCUAUUACAAUUUUUUUCAUCCUUUGUUUGGAGCUAUUGUAGUUGUGGUUGUCUUGUCUAUCCUCUUUUUCUCUUUGUUUUAGCAACUCUUCAUAGAGAACUUAUGGAUUAUUUAGCCCAUAUUGUUUGGAAUGAUAUCUCUGAAUUAUAAUCUAAAUACAGUAAUUUCAUGGAUGGAAAAGUUGAGCCCAGUCCAUACUGUUUUAUCUUAGUCUAGCAUAUUUUUCACUAUACUCAACAGCUUUGGUAUAACCUUCAGGAAAUUUUUUAAAUAUUGCAUCAAAAUAAAGUAAACUUCCCCUGUAAUUUCAAAGAAUCAUGUUUUAUUUCUUCAAAUUUCUUAAGCUUUUGUUAUUUUAACAAUAUCUUCAGAAUUUAGACUUGUGCUUCUGGGAACAUGGUAUAGACAUACUUUUCUCUUUUCCUCCCACUAAGUACAAUGAAAAACUCUAGAC
rnacentral:lncRNA from 1 species